rnacentral:rRNA from 1 species
GACGAACGCUGGCGGCGUGCUUAACACAUGCAAGUCGAACGCUGAAGCUCAGCUUUUGUUGGGUGGAUGAGUGGCGAACGGGUGAGUAACACGUGAGUAACCUGCCUCCUUCUUUGGGAUAACGCCCGGAAACGGGUGCUAAUACUGGAUAUUCACUGGUCUUCGCAUGGGGGUUGGUGGAAAGGGUUUUUCUGGUGGGGGAUGGGCUCGCGGCCUAUCAGCUUGUUGGUGGGGUGAUGGCCUACCAAGGCUUUGACGGGUAGCCGGCCUGAGAGGGUGACCGGGCACAUUGGGACUGAGAUACGGCCCAGACUCGGACGGGAGGCAGCAGUGGGGAAGAUUGCACAAUGGGCGCAAGCCUGAUGCAGCGACGCCGCGGGAGGGAUGGAGGCCUUCGGGUUGUGAACCUCUUUCGCUCAUGGUCAAGCCGAAACAAUGGUUGUGGUGAGGGUAGUGGGUAAAGAAGCGCCGGCUAACUACGUG